rnacentral:tRNA from 1 species
AAAUCUUUAAGUUAAACUAAACUAGUAAUUUUCAAAAUUACCUACAAAGAUAUAAAUUCUUUAAGUUUUA